rnacentral:tRNA from 1 species
CGACGUAUAGCCUAAUUGGCUAGAGCACUUGGACGAUAUCCAAGAAUAGCGGGUACGAGUCCCGCUUCGUUAC